rnacentral:rRNA from 1 species
AUGGAGGUAAACUCUGACUGGACCCCUCCAUUCAAAUUACAGAUACUAGGAUUGACAUCAUGCCAUCUUGGGCCAAGAUUUCCUCAGUGGCUCAAAUCACAGAACAAUGUUUCCUUCUUGUAUAUGUCUCAUGCCGGGAUAGCUGAUGCCAUGCCUGAUUGGUUUUGGACUGUAUUUUCAAAGGCUAAGGGUUUGGACCUCUCAAGCAAUAACAUCAGUGGCACAUUACCAGUUACUCUUGGACAGAUGGAUGCUUCUUGGUUAGACCUAAGCUCGAAUCGAUUCGUUGGUUCGGUACAGCAGGUACCUUAUAAUAUAAUAGGUUUGGAUCUCUCAAGAAACUCUCUGUCAGGGCCUCUGCCAUUAAAUUUCAGCUUCAGCUGGCCAAUGCAAAUACGAAGUUUGUAUCUUUUUGACAACCAUUUCACAGGCUCUAUCCCAGCAUCAUUAUGCCAAAUGAGGUCCUUGAGAUUACUUGACAUUGGAAACAACAUGAUAACAGGUCAGUUCCCUCGAUGUUCAGAAAAUGUGGCAUCAAGUUCAGAAAUGGUCCCGCCUAACACAACCUCUCCGGAUAGUGAUUCAAGCUUUGACAUGCUAUAUUGCAGUAUUAGAACUCUAAGGCUCGACAACAAUAACCUCUCGGAUGAAUUCCCUUUGUUAUUACAGAACUGCCCGGGACUAACUUUUAUUGAUCUUGGGCAAAAUAAGAAUUUUGGAACCAUACCAUCAUGGAUUGGACAGGAAUUACCACAACUAAAAUAUCUGCGCCUCAGGUCCAACAUGUUUUCUGGCCAUAUACCUACCCAGCUUGGAGGACUUCAAUAUCUCCAAUAUUUGGACCUAGCACACAAUAACUUUUCAGGCACUAUACCUCAGUCCCUGCUAAACAUGGAUGGUGCAGUCCAAACCACAACAUUAGCAUUUGUCCUUCCCGUGGCAUGGCUAUAG